UACAGAGACUGCAAGCGUUAUUCGGAUUCACUGGGCGUAAAGGGUGCGCAGGCGGUUGGGUGUGUCAGAUGUGAAAUCCCGAGGCUCAACCUCGGAACUGCGUCUGAAACUACUCGACUAGAGUACUGGAGAGGGAAACGGAAUUCACGGUGUAGCAGUGAAAUGCGUAGAUAUCGUGAGGAACACCAGAGGCGAAGGCGGUUUCCUGGACAGUUACUGACGCUCAGGCACGAAAAGCAUGGGGAGCAAAAGGG
rnacentral:rRNA from 1 species